CCACCACCCCUCCCCUCACCCUCUCCAGCAGCUGGCUGCGCCUGACGUCACCGACAGAGGCGCCCCGGCGCCAGCAGCAGGAGGUAGACUCGGACUGUACCCCAGGGCAAACGCGCUCUCACGGAUCCCAGGCUCUGCUUUGUGUACAACCGACCCGAAUGGGGUUGUUUCGCAUGUUGGACAAGACUCCCACGGUAGGAUGAGGUGGUGAGGCGUAUAAAAUAAGAAUUUUGAUGGCAUUGAGCGAACAGUAACGUAUUUGGAAGUUAGGAUGGUACGAAUUAAGGGAACUUAGGUCCAGGCCCGAAACGUCAGCUUUCCUGCUCCUCUGAUGCUGCUUGGCCUGCUGUGUUCAUCCAGCUCUCUACACCUUGUUAUCUCAGAUUCUCCAGCAUCUGCAGUUCCUGCUAUCUCAAACAACUUUUUAGGUGGUUGUGUUCCAAAGUGCCUACUGCCUUUUUGAGCAAUUAAGGUCACAGGUUUGGAUGAUGUUAUUGAAAUCUGGAUGAUUGCUGCAGGGCACCUAUUAGACUCUACUUAGACUACAACAAAAUAGUGCGUACGACAGAGUAAAUUUUGAACAAACACAUUUAAUGAGGGACAUUUUCAGGAUAUUAUUCUGGGAGGAAUUCCAGAGUGGGUCCCAGCCAGGUCCACUCAGUUUCUUGUUUUUUCCUUUCGCUUGGAAAACUAUAAAGUUGAGUGAAUUAUGUUGUAUGCACUUGAUUUCUGCACAUUAUUAUACAUUGUUAUGCACAUAAACUAUGCAGGAGCUUGCUACACCAAAUGGCAAUUAAAAUUUAUUAGAUGCA